ensembl:miRNA
UUCUGUGUUUCCUAGAAACUGUAAACUUAGUCAUAAAGAUGAUCCUGAGUGCACAGUCUUCCUCGAGACUUUCAGCC